rnacentral:tRNA from 1 species
GGCGGCGUAGCCAAGUGGUAAGGCAAAGGUCUGCAAAACCUUCAUACACCGGUUCGAAUCCGGUCGCCGCCUCCA